rnacentral:rRNA from 1 species
CAAGAGCGUAUGUAAAAGUUGUUGCAGUUAAAAAGCUCGUAGUUGAACCUUGGGUUUGGUUGGCCGGUCCGCUUUUUUGCGAGUACUGGAUUCAACCGAGCCUUUCCUUCUGGCUAACCAGUCGUUUCGGCGGCUGGCGAACCAGGAUUUUUACUUUGAGAAAAUUAGAGUGUUCAAAGCAGGCAUUAGCUUGAAUAUAUUAGCAUGGAAUAAUAGAAUAGGACGUUAUGGUUCUAUUUUGUUGGUUUCUAGGACCAUCGUAAUGAUUAAUAGGGACGGUCGGGGGCAUCAGUAUUCAGUUGUCAGAGGUGAAAUUCUUGGAUUCACUGAAGACUAACUACUGCGAAAGCAUUUGCCAAGGACGUUUUCAUUAA